CCCCCUGCGUACGCCGCAAGCGGAGAACCGGCUCGGGGUCGCACCCAGUUGACGGCGGCCGAGUCUCGAAGGACUACCGCGUAUAUCAUGACGGAGAUCACAAUCAACAAUAGCCAGACGACAACGACCAGGAAGAUGAUGACUGAAGAGCUGAAACACC